GCCUCUCUAAUUCUGUCUAGAACCGCUCCUAUAUGGGCCAAGUGCUCCUGCCAGGUAUUGGUAAAUAUGGCAAUAUCAUCUAGAUAUACGCAGGUAUAGUCUUGGAACCCGUCUAGAAGUCGGUCCGCCAUCCGCUUGAAGGUAUCCAGAGCGUUUUUCAUAACAAACGGCAUAACCUUAACUUGGUACAGGCCGAAUGGGUGACAAAGGCUGACUUAGGGAUGGCGUCCGGGGCCAAGGGAAUCUGCCAAUACCC